UACAGAGGUCUCAAGCGUUGUUCGGAUUCAUUGGGCGUAAAGGGCGCGUAGGCGGCCGAUCAAGUCAGGCGUGAAAGCCCCGGGCUCAACCUGGGAAUGGCGCUUGGGACUGGUUGGCUUGAGUUCGGGAGAGGAGAGUGGAAUUCCCAGUGUAGAGGUGAAAUUCGUAGAUAUUGGGAAGAACACCGGUGGCGAAGGCGGCUCUCUGGACCGAGACUGACGCUGAGGCGCGAAAGCGUGGGGAGCAAACAGG
rnacentral:rRNA from 1 species